rnacentral:rRNA from 1 species
UACGUAGGGUGCGAGCGUUGUCCGGAAUUAUUGGGCGUAAAGAGCUCGUAGGCGGUCUGUCGCGUCGGUCGUGAAAACCUGCAGCUUAACUGUGGGCGUGCGGUCGAUACGGGCAUGACUGGAGUUCGGCAGGGGAGACUGGAAUUCCUGGUGUAGCGGUGAAAUGCGCAGAUAUCAGGAGGAACACCAAUGGCGAAGGCAGCUCGCUGGAACGGUACUGACGCUGAGGCGCGAAAGCGUGGGGAGCAAACAGG